rnacentral:ncRNA from 2 species
GCCCCCCACAUGUAUGCUCGUCCUCGCUGUCGCAGCAGGGGAAUCCGGUGAGAGUCCGGAACUGUCCCGCAACGGUGUACCGGUGUGCCCUUCGCGUACCCGCGAGUCCGACGACCUGCCGGCAGCGCGCCCGGACC